CACGUAGGCUGACUGGUCAGUUGGGGGUGAAAUCCCGGGGCUCAACCUCGGAACUGCCUUCAAUACUGCCAGUCUUGAGUCCGAGAGAGGUGAGUGGAAUUCCUAGUGUAGAGGUGAAAUUCGUAGAUAUUAGGAAGAACACCAGUGGCGAAGGCGGCUCACUGGCUCGGUACUGACGCUGAGGUGCGAAAGCGUGGGGAGCAAACA
rnacentral:rRNA from 1 species